UCCCCUACGGGGGGCAGCAGUCGGGAAUAUUGCGCAAUGGAGGAAACUCUGACGCAGUGACGCCGCGUAUAGGAAGAAGGUUUUCGGAUUGUAAACUAUUGUCGUUAGGGAAGAUAAAAGACUGUACCUAAGGAGGAAGCCCCGGCUAACUAUGUGCCAGCAGCCGCGGUAAUACAUAGGGGGCGAGCGUUAUCCGGAUUCAUUGGGCGUAAAGCGCGCGUAGGCGGCCCGCUAAGCGGGACCUCUAACCUGGGGGCUCAACCUCCAGCCGGGUCCCGAACUGGCGAGCUCGAGUGCGGU
rnacentral:rRNA from 1 species